UCGGAGAGAUUGUACCAUAUACUUGGUAUGGUAGAAAUCUUGAAGAUCUAGCUAAAGAUUGGUUGGGAAAUUAAGUUUAUUUUAGAAGAGAAAGGUUAAUCGGAGGAAUAUUGACCUGAAGUCUCCUUGUCCUUAGAUACCUUAUCAUGAAAUGGUAUAUUGUUAGUGAAUGGGCAGUCGGUCACUCACAGCCACCAUAUCUCCUAUUAAAAAUGUCGACGCCUCGCACCCUAUAAUCGCCCAGUGGCACACAAUAAUCAAUCACACCCUUUCGUUCCUCUUUCUGUUUCUUUGGGGGGUGUUAUCCUUUGAAAGCAACUCCGUUAUUUAUUGCCCAAUGGGGACUUUAUCCUCAACUGUCAUCCCUUCUGCACAUCACCUGUUCGAUCAAAGUCCUCAUACAGCUUUCGGGUCUCUACUUUCACCCUGAAAUCCCGAAACGGUUUCUGGGUAUUCAUAUUUCGGUUGAAAGGUUCUGAAUUGUACAAAAUUCCCAUUUUUUGAAACUUCUGCUUCUUCUUCUGUUUACUUCACCUACAUCAAAGUACCUGUUUUACUCUACGUUUCAUAUUUUCCAUGUACUUUUUUUUAGGCAAUAUUGUCCAUAUACUUGAAUCAUCCAGCUAUGGCCUUUGCUUCCUGAAUCUUUUUUCACCUCUAAAUUUAUUUGAUUCAUUGUCGUACUUCUUAUCAAUAUUUUUAAAAAUCCAAGCAGUUUUGAAAACUAAUAAAUGGAAAAGCAACUCCUCUUCAAAAGCCAUGGAACUGUAGUUGGUGGCUCGCUCUGUCUCAAACUUAUUCACCCAAGUUCGUCUGGAUAGAGUUAUAUUUGAUCUUCGUGGUACAUUCACACAUAGUUAGCCGAAGAACUAUAUGUGAAUGAUCAUAUCGAUAAUGGGAGCUUUCGAUUCCAUGGGAUUAAAGCUUAACAAUGCCCCUCAUUACCCUUGUCUUUCCUCUCUCCCUUCUGCUUUUUUCUGCUCCAAUUUCUCAACUCUAAACUUCUCUUCCUCAAUUUCUGGUUUACAUGAUCUCAGUAUUCCCAUCUCUAAUGGACUUGAAAAUUGUGCAGUGGGUAAUAGGAGUUAUGACAGUUUAUUGGGUCUUCAUUUCUCUCUUCGCCCAAAACGAACUGCGUCAUGUUUUAGGCCAAUUUCUGCCCUGCCUGGAAGUGGAGAAUCUGAAUCUCCCAUUUCUGUUAGCAGCAAUGCCGGAUUUAGUAUAAAACAGAGUGAACAAGAAGAAUAUGAUGAUGAUGAUGCUGAAGAAGAAGAAGAAGAAGAAGAAGAAGAAGAAGAAGAAGGUAUUCCCUUUGGAACUGGGAGUUCAACAAUAAUAUCGUCGUGUUUCGUUGGUCUUCUUACGGGCAUUGGUGUUGUGCUCUUCAAUAACGCAGUGCACGAGAUACGUGAUUUUUCCUGGGAUGGAAUUCCUAAUAGAGGGGCAUCUUGGUUAAGAGAAAUGCCCAUUGAAGAUAUAUGGAAACGAGUUAUCCUGGUUCCUGCAUCUGGGGGAUUUCUUGUUAGCUUCUUGAAUCUGCUUAGAGAUGCUACAGAUGUAAAAGUGGACCAACCUCAAGGAGAUGAUCCUUCCACAAAAUUUGGAGUCCCAAUUUCCAUUUCUAACAAGUUAAAGGCUGCAUUGCAGCCUUUCCUAAAGGCCAUUGCUGCUUCUGUAACCCUUGGUACUGGUAACUCUUUGGGGCCAGAAGGUCCUAGCGUCGACAUUGGUACUUCUGUUGGCAAGGGUAUUUCUACUGUGUUUGAGAUGAAUUCUAGAACAAAGCUUUCUCUGAUAGCUGCUGGAUCAGCAGCUGGAAUCUCAUCUGGGUUUAAUGCUGCAGUUGCCGGUUGUUUUUUUGCUAUUGAAUCAGUCUUGUGGCCAUCUCCUGCUGAUUCAACCUUUUCUCUCACAAACACCACUUCAAUGGUUAUUCUAAGUGCUGUUAUAGCUUCUGUAGUUUCACAAGUUGGUCUGGGAGUGGAACCAGCAUUCAAGGUCCCAGUUUAUGAUUUUCGCUCGCCAAGUGAGCUUCCACUAUAUCUCUUGUUGGGUGUCCUCUGCGGCUUGGUUUCAUUGAGCUUUUCUAAAUGCACAUCUUACCUGCUUGCAACCGUCGACAAAUUUCACAAGGAAUUUGGUGCACCGAGAGCUAUGUUUCCGAUUCUAGGUGGCUUCACUAUUGGGCUGAUAGCCUUGGCAUAUCCUGAAAUUCUAUAUUGGGGUUUUGAGAAUGUUGAUCUUUUGUUGGAAUCUCGGCCAUUUGUGAAACCCCUUUCAGCUGAAUUAUUGGCUCAGCUUGUUGUCAUCAAGAUUUUGGCCACCUCUUUGUGCAGAGCAUCUGGACUAGUGGGAGGGUAUUAUGCACCAUCCCUGUUUAUUGGCGCUGCAACUGGAAUGGCAUAUGGGAAAUUCAUUGGCAUUGCACUUUCUGAGCCCAACUCUGUACUUGACUUCUCCAUUUUCGAAGUGGCGUCACCUCAAGCUUAUGGAUUGGUUGGAAUGGCUGCUACUCUUGCUGGGGUUUGUCAGGUGCCUCUUACUGCUGUUUUGUUGCUUUUUGAGUUAACACAGGACUACCGAAUUGUUCUUCCUUUACUCGGGGCCGUGGGAGUUUCAUCGUGGAUAACUUCUGGGCAGAAAAGGAAAAGAAGUUCCCAGCAAACAAAGAAGCUUUCACCAGGAAAAAGUCCUAGUACUCAGCAAUCUACAGCAUAUGAUAGUAAUGCAAACAACCAAUCUUCUAAUUAUGCAGAGGAUGGACAGACAAAUUACCCAAAUGAUCUCUGUGAAAUUGAAAGUUCGCUUUGUGCAUAUGAAUCUGAUAGCGAAACUGUAGAGUUGGAAAGGAAAAUCUCCGUGUCUGAAGCCAUGACAACGAAAUACAUAACCAUCUUGAUGGGAACUUGCCUCGUAGAAGCAGUAAAUCUAAUGCUUGCAGAGAAGCAGUCCUGUGCAUUGAUCGUCGAUGAAGGGAAUAUCUUGAUUGGCAUAUUAGAGCUUGAAGACAUCCAAAAGUUGAGCAAAAAUGCUAAAUCAAGAAAUGAACAACUAAAGUUUCUGAGAUUUGCUCCCUGGAUGAAAAAAUGUGUCGAGUACCGUGGACGGCAACUCCGAGUAUGGAUAUUCUUACUGCUAAAAUGAUUAUGAAGAAUCUUGGUGUGACCCAAGUUCCAGUGGUGAGAGAUCAGAUGGGCUACGUUGUGGGUGUUUUAGACUGGGAAUGCAUUGAUCUCACUUGCAGAAUUCUUGCAACAAGAGAAUCCCUGGGCCGAUGAUGAUUUCUACUGCUAAAACUAUGGAGUUUAGAGCAAACACAAGUGGAGAAUGAUACAGUACAUAGAGAAUACAAAUUACAAUACAACUUCUAGUUGAAUCCUUCUUUAUUUCUUUGGAAGCAAAGGCAAACCACACCACACUUAACACAGGUUUGUGAAAUGGGUUAGGUGAGUUGAGGCUCUAGGUCCACUACUACUUUUGCAGCUCAGACAGUAGCUCAAUCACACAAUGUCAUGUGCAACGUCAUCGUUUCCUCCCUCUUUUACACAUUUAGAAAAACUAGAAACUGUUAAUGAAUGUGCACCCUAAAAGUUAUAUAUAUUAUUUAAAUGCUAAUAUACACCAUUUUUUUCCUUUUUAAA